GCUGGUGGGACUGUGUGGGGAGACGAAUGAAAGGAUGAUUGAGGCAGUGAAAGAGUACCUGGGGAAAAUGUGGCGUGCUAGAUGUAGGAACUAGUAUUGUGAUAGAUGCUGUAUGACUCUGCCGUUUUCUGCUGUCAUUCUUUUUUCCCUACAGGAGUGCCGGUGCAAGGGCCUGGCAUGGGAGGAAUCCUGAACCUCCUGACCUGUAAGAUCAAGAACAAGACAGUGGCGGCAAGAGGACGAGAGAGGAAGCUUGUGACUCCGCUCCUGUGUUUCUAAGAGUGCCGAUGCAAAGGUCUGGCUUGGGAGGAAACCUGAGCCUCCUGUAAGAUCAAGAUAAAGAUUCUCAUUAAACACAGGUGCUAGUAGGUUAUUACUUUAUAGUAGUAACAUUACUAUAAAGGAAGUUGAGUCAAAAUCAGAAGACUUACUUAUAGCAGAAUGUGAAGUGUACACUUUAAAAUUUACUUUAAUAAUUGUUUAUAUAUAUGUAAAUGAUAAUACAAGAAAUAAAUUAGUUGAAGAGGAUGUCAUAACAAUUGGAAAUAACACACAUGGAAAAUAUAUUAUUGCCGGAGAUUUCAGCGGUGACAUUGGGAUUAUUGGAAAACAGAAAAUAAAUAAUAAUGGUAUGUGAGUGUUAACAUAUUAGAACAUCUGAAUCUUAAUAUUUUGAACUGUGAUAUAGAGAGUGAAGGAGAGACAACAUGGCAAGAUGAUCAUUGUAGCACUAUUGACUGCAUCGAUAAAUAAAGAAUUAUAUAAGUACUUUGAUAAUAUGAGAAUAGAUGAAAAUGGUGAUGAGUAUGAUCUAUCAAAUCAUAAACUAAUAACUGUGAAUUUUAGUUAUCAUGGAAAAUUGCAGGGAACCCAAGGAGGGUCAAAGUACAAAGAAACACACUACUUGAAAAUAGAUGAACACACUACAAAGGAGUAUAUAAAAGAAUUAUAAAAGAAGCUGAAUACCAGUGAAUGCACUAUGCCAGACUUAGAAAUAAAAAUAGAAGAAGUAUCAGAUAAAAACAAUGAAAAGAACCAUAAGAAGGAAAAUAGGGAAUGCAAAAGAAAAGAAUUCAACCAGAAAUUACGAAAUUCAACAACUAUACGAGAAAAAGGAAAAUAUAAGGAACUAUACUGUAAGCAAAAAGAAAGUGUGAAAAGUAAAAUAGAAAGUGAAUUAAGAAAACAUGAAGAAAAAAUAACUUCAAAAAUAAAAGCAGACAAAAACAACAGAAAAAUCUGGCAAGACAAGUAAGUUGAGAGGUAAAAGUAAUGAGAAGAAAAAAGAUAUUAUACUAUAUGAUAAAGGAGUACAAGAGAAAAUACAUAAGUAUCCUAUGAAGAUUAAAGAGUUUUGGGAGAAAAUUUAUAACAAAGAAAGAAAUAAUAUACCAGAAAUAUGGAAUAAUAAUAUAAAACAAGAAUAUGAAAAUACAUUCAAGAACUAUUGUGACAAUAAAUCAGUUAAUAUAGAUAAUAAUGAAUUAACAAUACAAUAUCAGUUAAGAGAACACCUGGAUGCUGCAUUCAUGAUAAAUACUGAUGAUAUAAAACCAAUGAAAGACUGUAAAAUAACAAUGACUGAGUUAGAAUACCAAAUAGAAAGACAAAGACAAAAAAAGCAGUAGGACCCAAUAAAAUUAAAACAGAACUCCUUAUUGCUAUGAUACACUAUGAUAAAUGUAAAACAACACUCCUACAGGCAUUAAAUGAUGUCAUUGAUACUGGAAUAAUCCUGGAUACAUGGCCAAUCCAUCAAAUACCAAAUUACUGGAGAAAAAAGCAAAACCAAUAAUAAAAGAUCUGAGACCAGUAGCCCUUACAGACAUCACAUAAAUUAUUAAUGGGAAUCAUAAAAAUAAAAUGCAAAGACAUCUACAAGAACAGCAGACAGUCUAUUUAUACUAAAUUACUGUAUACAGAAGAGUUACAAACAUAAGAGAUCACUUACAUUAAUAUCAGUAGACUUUACAAACGCAUUUGACAGUAUAAGCAGAGAAAUGUUAAUGAAAGUAAUGCUGAAAUAUAAGAUACACCCAAAGUUAAUUGACCUCAUUGCCAAAGUAUAUACAGAGGACAACACCAAAAUAUUCCUUAAUGAUAAAGAAAUGUGUAGUAUUGAAAUAACGAAUGGCAUACAACAAGGAUGCAAUGGGUCAACUGUCAUAUUUCUUAUGGUGGCAUAUUACAUCAUCCAAAAACUUAGCCAAUCCAAUGCUAAAUUCAGGAAUGAUGUAUGUGCCCUGGCCUCAGUAUUUUUUGCUGAUGAUGGAAUGCUUCCUGUAACUAAUGAAGAUGAGGCUAAACAAAAUAUAAAGUUACUAAUAGAAGUAGCAGAGGACUGUGGAUUGCAUUUAAAUAAGGAAAAAAGCAACAUAUUGAUUUUUUACUCGAACAGUACUACAGAAAACAUAGAAGAAAUAAAAGUUACUCAUCAAAUAAUUUAGAAACAAAAAUAAUGAACAAGAGGAACUUUCUGCUUAAACAUAGAAAAAAUAUUAUAUAAAAGGCAAAACAUGCAAACAUGAUACCAUCCAUCACAAGAAGAAGCUGCAAUAAAGUUCUCAUAGGAACAACAUAUUGGAAAAGUGUUGUUCUACCAUUAAUAAUGUUUGGGGGAGAAGUAGUAAACUAUACAAAGAAAGAAAUAGAUACAAUACAAAAAGCAGAAAACAGACCAAACAGGUAUGUAAUGAAUGCCCCAAUCUAUACCCCAAACAGUGCAAUAAGAGGAGAAAUAGAAGCAUCAUCUCACACAGCAAGAGAUAUGAAAACCAAACUCCACUAUAUAAGGCACAUUAUGCAAGGUAACAAUACAUUACUAAAAACAAUCUUUGAAGAUAUAAUGGAAACCUUGAAAGACCCAUGGAUAAAAACGGUUAAGACAUAUAUGUUAGAAAUAAAUGUAAAUGUCAAUAGAAUAUGAGAAAAGAAGAGAUAAGCAACAAAAUCAAGGAUUGGGACACUGAAUGCUGGUAAGUAGAAUUAAAAGCUAAACACAGUUUAGCUUCUAAUUUUACAGAAAUAAUAUACAGAAAUAAUAUACAGAUAGUAUAAAAAUGAAAUCAAGACGGCAAUUUAUGAUAACACCUUACAAUCUGACUUGCUGUUCAAGGCUAGAACAAAUACCCUAGAGUUAAGAUGGAGGAGUAAACAUAGAAAUGAAGAAACAAGCUUUCCUCUAUGUAACUAUGAUGAAGAAAACCUAGUACAUUUUCUGCUAUAUUGCCCAAAACUACAAGACAUCAGAAAAAACACAAGAUUCCUCCAACAACCCUAUCACACAAAUAUAUUGAAAAAUCUCUUACUCUUUGGUAAAGAUAAUAAACAACAAGAAUAUAAAAAUAUCAUAACAUCACUCUGGAAAAAAAGGAUCUGCUUAAUAAGACAGAAACAGCAGCAACACUAGAAAAAAAAAAAAUUAGGGGUGCUGUUGCAAAGGCAAUACCCCAAAAUACCAACUGAACUUAACUAAACUGAACUGAGGGGGUUUGGAUGCAUGCUUCAUAAUAUUAUUAAAGAAAAAAAAAUUACAAGUGCUGUUCUUGCACAUCACUAAAAUCCAAUUAUCACAUAUACAUCGACCAAAGAAAAAAAAAUGUAGAAGAGAGAAGCAGCUUGGGGGUGGUUAAGGAUGCUAUUAAUAUUUGUAUGAGUUAUCUUUAAGUAAUGAAAAUUUUGGUAUGGUACGUUUAAUACUAAAAUGGAAUAAAAGUAUUAAGUAGGAGUGAUGAAAUACAGUGAAGUUGUGUGGACACAUCAAGUAAAUGAAGAGUGAUGAGCUGGGAAAUGAAUUGUGAGCAAAAUCUUGGAAGAUGAGAAUACUGCAUAGGAUAAAAGAGAAUACAAGUGAAAGAUAUGCAAGUAGAAAGAAAAGGUCUGAACAAGCAAGAAUGUUUGUAUAAUCAUGGAGAGAUGAAGGUUCUUCUGCCAUGGCCAUCCUAGAGAAGCUGUGAAUAGACCCUGAAGGUAUUCCUUGAAUGCAAGGGAUUUAAAAGACAGGUUGCUCAGCAGGCAGUUGUUAGAUGAGGAUUGCUUACUACACAGGUAAAAUUAGGAACUUUCUUUUCAAAACAGUAAGGAAAGGAGGAGGAAAGAAAGGCACAUACUGUAUACAUGGAGCUCCUUUAUUGAACUGUAAUAUAUAACAGCCAAGUUUAUACUUAGAAUUAAUGUAUGUACAUUGCGUAGUUUAAUGCUUUGGGUUCUUCCAUGCUUGUAUACAAUACUAGCAGACAAGAUGCAUUAACACAAGCUUCAACAGUUAUACUUUUUUUUUUCUUUUCCAUUUCAAAUUGUGCCUCAAACAAUGCUUCCCUACCCUUCCUCAAGAACUCAACAGACAACACACUGUGGAUGUGAAGUGCAUCUGAAGCUAUCUUUUAUGGCAUUUCUUGAAAAAAAAAAUUUUGCAUGGAAGAAUAGGGAAAGAUGACAUUCCAUAUCUUUUAAAGCCAUAGUCAAUACAUGGCUAUAAUCCUAACUGCUAGGAAAGAACAUGGUAACCUAAUGUUUAUAAUUACACUAUUCUGCAAAGCUACCAAUAAUCCACUUUCAAAGAACUAAAACCUACCAAAUAUUUUUUUUAGGAAAAGUGGAAUUGAUUUUUGUGGGAAGGAAACAAACAAUAUUUGAGAUAUCAACAUAGUAGUACCAAGUCCAUGGCGUGUUUCUUUGUUAUGAUGAUUUCCUUACCUGUACAUACGAUCCAUCCCAACAAAAUUACGAUAACUAAUAGUGCAUAUGUAACCUUUUGUGAUAAAAAUUUAGAUUAAGUAUCUUCAGUUGCUUCAAUACUUUGUGUUAAAUGCUGGCCACAGUAGGAAGUUAGCUCACAAAUAUACAUUGUUUACCAACUUAGCUAAAACCAUAAAACAAAUAUUAAAAGUAUUCAUAAACAUCAUUACUUAUGCCUACUUGUAUCACAGACAGCUCGUGACACUAAAACAUCCAUUUCUCAAAGGUGAAAUUAAUUUAAAAUUUUAUUGCUAUUGUAUAAUCUGAGGUGCAGUGAUAUUUGAUGGAUAGUGUGCUUGAUCAUUUUUUUUUUUUUUUUU